rnacentral:rRNA from 1 species
UACGAAGGUGGCUAGCGUUGUUCGGAUUUAUUGGGCGUAAAGGGUCCGCAGGCGGUUUGAUAAGUCAGGUGUGAAAUCCCACAGCUUAACUGUGGACACGCAUUUGAUACUGUCAGACUAGAGUAUGAGAGGGGUGAGAGGAAUUUCCAGUGUAGGGGUGAAAUCCGUAGAUAUUGGAAAGAACACCGGCCGCGAAGGCGUUUCACUGGCUCAUUACUGACGCUCAGGGACGAAAGCUAGGGGAGCAAACGGG